rnacentral:rRNA from 1 species
GCUACACAUGCAAGUCGAACGGUAACANGAACACUUGCUGCUUCGCUGACGAGUGGCGGACGGGUGAGUAAUGUCUGGGAAACUGCCUGAUGGAGGGGGAUAACUACUGGAAACGGUAGCUAAUACCGCAUAACGUCGCAAGACCAAAGAGGGGGACCUUCGGGCCUCUUGCCAUCGGAUGUGCCCAGAUGGGAUUAGCUAGUAGGUGGGGUAACGGCUCACCUAGGCGACGAUCCCUAGCUGGUCUGAGAGGAUGACCAGCCACACUGGAACUGAGACACGGUCCAGACUCCUACGGGAGGCAGCAGUGGGGAAUAUUGCACAAUGGGCGCAAGCCUGAUGCAGCCAUGCCGCGUGUAUGAAGAAGGCCUUCGGGUUGUAAAGUACUUUCAGCGGGGAGGAAGGCGAUAAGGUUAAUAACCUUGUCGAUUGACGUUACCCGCAGAAGAAGCACCGGCUAACUCCGUGCCAGCAGCCGCGGUAAUACGGGGGGUGCAAGCGUUAAUCGGAAUUACUGGGCGUGAAGCGCACGCAGGCGGUCUGUCAAGUCGGAUGUGAAAUCCCCGGGCUCAACCUGGGAACUGCAUUCGAAACUGGCAGGCUAGAGUCUUGUAGAGGGGGGUAGAAUUCCAGGUGUAGCGGUGAAAUGCGUAGAGAUCUGGAGGAAUACCGGUGGCGAAGGCGGCCCCCUGGACAAAGACUGACGCUCAGGUGCGAAAGCGUGGGGAGCAAACAGGAUUAGAUACCCUGGUAGUCCACGCCGUAAACGAUGUCGACUUGGGAGGUUGUGCCCCUUGAGGCGUUGGCUUCCCGGAGCUAACGGC